rnacentral:rRNA from 1 species
UGGGGAAUUUUGGACAAUGGGCGCAAGCCUGAUCCAGCAAUGCCGCGUGCAGGAUGAAGGCCUUCGGGUUGUAAACUGCUUUUGUACGGAACGAAACGGCUCUGGUUAAUACCUGGGGCUAAUGACGGUACCGUAAGAAUAAGCACCGGCUAACUACGUGCCAGCAGCCGCGGUAAUACGUAGGGUGCGAGCGUUAAUCGGAAUUACUGGGCGUAAAGCGUGCGCAGGCGGUGAUGUAAGACAGAUGUGAAAUCCCCGGGCUCAACCUGGGAACUGCGUUUGUGACUGCAUCACUCGAGUACGGCAGAGGGGGAUGGAAUUCCGCGUGUAGCAGUGAAAUGCGUAGAUAUGCGGAGGAACACCGAUGGCGAAGGCAAUCCCCUGGACCUGUACUGACGCUCAUGCACGAAGGCAUGGGGAGCAAACA